CAACGCAGGUUUGUAAUGAGUUUGAAAUCCAAAGUGUAGACCAAACCUUCAAAGAAAUCCUUAGAGAGAAUAUGUUUCUCGUCACAAUAACCUCAACUAUCAUAUCUCAAAUAAUCGUGAUCGAGUUUGCCAGCAUUUUCAUUUCUUCCGUCAGGCUAGACUUGAAAAAAUGGGUGACGACAAGACUUUUGGGAUUGCUCAGCCAAGUCGCCACUCGCUUCCCUUACCCAACCAACCAAUAUUACCCGUAACUGAGAUUUGUCUUGCCAUAUAGGCACAAGUACCGUCAACUUUUGAAGCAUCCCUCUAGCUUUGGACGCUUCAGAGGAUGUUGUUCUCUGCGUGGGUGUGCGUGAGAGAUUAAAUAAUGGGUAUAUAUAAUAUCAUAGUACAGUUAAUUCAGUUAAUUCAUUUCCUCUCCAAGCUAUGUAGAGUUGAAAUGCGUGAGAGUCAAACAUUUAAGUUCUGUAUUCAUUUCCCUUUCAAGCUAUGUAGACUGAAAUGGGUGAGAGUCAUAUAGUAAGUUGUGUUCAAUCAAUUCACCUCUUCAUUUUUUUUUUGUGUGUCUAAUUUGAGUUGCCUUCUGUAUCAGAAUCUACCAUUCCUCCUAGGUUUACCGCAAUACCUAGGUCGAUCGAAUGAAG